ACUCGGGCACGUCGCUCGACAUGUUUGGUUCCCAUAUCUUGGGGACCCCUAGGGAGCGAGCAGCCGGGGUUCCGAGCGUCUGCGGACCCUACCCGGAGCUGCCUGUCGACUUGUGUUGGGUCAUUGCUGCAGGACGUCUUCAUUGGUUGAAAUUUGAAUCCGCCGUAUAGCAACGCCGAACCUGUGGUAUAUCAUGAUCCAACAUUUGUGUAUUUGUAAAGGUAUUGUGGUAUCAUAGUUUUCCCAACCCUCCGCUUUCAGAAAACGACAAUUGUACGUAUGCUUCUUGCUGCCACAUCCCAACUUUAUUUCCGCCUUCAAAAAUAAAAUAAAAUAAAAUAAAAUAAACGCUGUGAAACAACAAUAAAGGGAAUUCGUUCGUGGAUAAAAAACAAAACAAAAUAAAAACCUUCAAAUGUCAAAACGAUUUUCAAGGAAACUUGUUGACGGUACAGAACUACAGUUUUCGAUGCACAAAGAAAGAGGGAAAAAAAACUUGUUUGUUGGGUUUGAGCAAACAAAUUUCUAUCUUUGCCAGGUUUCCUAUUUGAGGAUAUCAAAGGUCAUUAGCAGAAGCUGGUGGAUAACGUUUUGUCAACUGUCAUCGGUUCGCCCAACACCGUAUCUGGGUAAAGGACCGUUCGGACGUGGUCGGAAUUCAAACACCAUCGUUGGACUGUACCGAAAAGAAAACCCAACUAAUUGAGUGAAUUUAGGUUUAUCGCUGCAACGACUUGAAAACCCUAGCGUUCACCUGGUCUGCAUCACAAUGAGCUAUGAUGAUAACUAAGAAAUGUAAAAUUCAGAAUUUUUCUUUGAAAUUCAAGCCAUGUUACAUUAGAUCAUGCAGGUAUCAAAAAUACAUGCCGUAGAGAGUAUUACGUAAGAUAGCUAAAGCUUGAAAUAUAAUAAAUGUUACAUCUCUAAGUGAAAUGUUUUUGAUUUACAGUAUUUGUCUGGUACUUUUUCAAGUUUCACCUAACAUAGGGGCUUUGCCCUUGCACCCCUCGCAGAAAUAUAAAAAAGUUAAUUU